AGACCUAGCAAUAGGUAUGCUUAGGGAGGAGCUUGCGUCACAUUAGUUAGUUGGUGGGGUAAAGGCCUACCAAGACUAUGAUGUGUAGCCGGGCUGAGAGGUUGAACGGCCACAUUGGGACUGAGACACGGCCCAAACUCCUACGGGAGGCAGCAGUAGGGAAUUUUCGGCAAUGGAGGAAACUCUGACCGAGCAACGCCGCGUGAACGAUGAAGUAUUUCGGUACGUAAAGUUCUUUUAUUAGGGAAGAAUAAAUGAUGGAAAAAUCAUUCUGACGGUACCUAAUGAAUAAGCCCCGGCUAACUAUGUGCCAGCAGCCGCGGUAAUACAUAGGGGGCAAGCGUUAUCCGGAAUUAUUGGGCGUAAAGGGUGCGUAGGCGGUUAAAUAAGUUUAUGGUCUAAGUGCAAUGCUCAACAUUGUGAUGCUAUAAAAACUGUUUAGCUAGAGUAAGAUAGAGGCAAGUGGAAUUCCAUGUGUAGUGGUAAAAUGCGUAAAUAUAUGGAGGAACACCAGUAGCGAAGGCGGCUUGCUGGGUCUUUACUGACGCUGAGGCACGAAAGCGUGGGGAGCAAACAGGAUUAGAUACCCUGGUAGUCCACGCCGUAAACGAUGAGUACUAAACGUUGGGUAAAACCAGUGUUGAAGUUAACACAUUAAGUACUCCGCCUGAGUAGUACGUACGCAAGUAUGAAACUUAAAGGAAUUGACGGGACUCCGCACAAGCGGUGGAUCAUGUUGUUUAAUUCGAAGGUACCCGAAAAACCUCACCAGGUCUUGACAUGCUUCUGCAAAGCUGUAGAAACACAGUGGAGGUUAUCAGUUGCACAGGUGGUGCAUGGUUGUCGUCAGCUCGUGUCGUGAGAUGUUGGGUUAAGUCCCGCAACGAGCGCAACCCUUAUUGUUAGUUACCAGCACGUAAUGGUGGGGACUUUAGCAAGACUGCCAGUGAUAAAUUGGAGGAAGGUGGGGACGACGUCAAAUCAUCAUGCCCCUUAUGACCUGGGCUACAAACGUGAUACAAUGGCUGUUACAAAGGGUAGCUGAAGCGCAAGUUUUUGGCGAAUCUCAAAAAAACAGUCUCAGUUCGGAUUGAAGUCUGCAACUCGACUUCAUGAAGUUGGAAUCGCUAGUAAUCGCGAAUC
rnacentral:rRNA from 1 species